AUGUUCUCUGCCCAGGGAGCAGCCAGUGUCUGGCUGCCUUUACCAGUGGCUGUUGAUCACCUGGGGUUGUUGGGUGGUUCAUCAUCAAUUCCUGGUGACUUCAGGGUAACCAUGCCCUCCUCCAGCCUUCUCGGAGGGCAGGAAUCCCCCCGUGCAGCGCCUGGCUGCCGGCAGAGGCUUCCUUGCCGACCUUCCCAACCCCGCUGUGCCUCGUGCUGUGCUGACCAGUGGGCUGAGCCCUGCCUGCUCCCUGCAUGCUGUGGUGCCCCCAUAGGAACACACGACAGAGUGGGGUUUUUGUGUGGAGGGCUGUUGGUGCUGCUCUGCCAGGCUUACUCCCCAGGGAGAGCUUUAUCUCGGAGACGAGGCAGCCAGGGAUGAGCCAAGCGAUGUCUGCAGUCACCGCGCCUGACCACCCGUCCCAUCCCUCUGCGAACCAGAGCAUCACCAUGGGGCACCAUGGUGGCAGCAGCAUCCAAGGAGAGGAGGCUGAGGAGAGACCUCAUCGCUCUCUGCAGCUCCUGGAAAGGAGGUUGUGGUGAGGUGGGUGCUGGGCUCCUCUCCAAGUAUCAAGUGAUAGGAUGAGAAGAGGAAAUGGCCUCACGCUGUACCAGGGUAGAUUUAGACUGGAUAUUAGGAGAUAUUUCUUCACCAAAAGGAAUGUUAAGCAUUGGAGGAGGAUGCCCAUGGAGGUGGUGGAGUCCCGAUCCCUGGAGGGAUUUAAAAGCUAUGUGGAAGUGGUGCUUAAGAUAGUUUAGUGGAGGGCUUGGCAGCGUGAGGUUUACGGAUGGACUCAAUAAUCUUAAAGGUCUUUUCCAACUUAAACGAUUGCAUGAUUCUGUGAAUCAAGAGGGCUGAGAGACUGGGUUCCCUGCCCGGUACUGAGUUAUCUUCAAUAUGUCAGAAAUGGCAAGGAAAACUCGUGCUACAGAUGUGAAAGGCAAAGGAUCCCUUGGAAGUUUUCCCCAGCAUGAGAGAAGCUCUUGAAGUUUAUUCAUGUAACAGCCACCGUAUUAAAGAGCUUCUCGGAGAACCUCGAAUAGCUUUCUAUAUGGAAACAAAUCUGCCUCUAUAGCAGCCGUUUUCUGUGUUUCUUUUGAUAACGAUAAUGAUCUUACAUUUCUGAACAGCCUUUCAUCUUGCCGGAUCUUAAUGAGCUUUACAGACAAAUGUGCAAGCUCUACGCAAAGAUCAAUUCGCCCAACAAUGCCAGGCAGCCGCUGCUGGGGUGGAUGCGGCAGGUGUCUGCACAGCCCGCGCAGAAGCAAUUCAGGCAGGAACGGGAGGGAUUGGAGUUUGUUUUGAUUUGUCGUUAUUUAUCGAAAAUGCAGGCAGCAUUCUAGAGAAGAGGAAUUUUGGCAGGCGAGAAUUUGGCCGGGACAACAAAGUUGUCUCUCUGUCUUUCCUUUUGGAGCCAUUCCUCUCCUUGAUACAUAUUUCAUCCUUCUUGAUGCCAGGGAAGUGAUCGCUUCUCAAUGGCUGCAGCUCCUGCCUGGCGUGGAGGCGGACAGCUUCAGUACAUUGCUCCGCUAAAUAUUUAAUGUAUUUUAUAGGGAAGGUGAUGAUGCCAAGAGGAGAAAACCAUGCCAGAAGAGCUGAUGGCCCAUGCCCGCAGUGCUCAGCUGAGCAGAGAGGUUUGGAUGGAGGCGCUGCAUCCAUCACAGCUGUCCUUGCUGCUGGCUGCUGGGGGGUUGUGCUCCCAUUUGUUCUCACUAUUUCUUGCCCAUGCUCCAAAUGAUGCGGUGGGACGGGACCUGGUUUCUCACGGUCAGCCUCUGUCCUAGCAGGGUAUUCAUAGCAACUGUUGUGUUCAAGGGUAGAAGCAUCACCUUGAAAGCAGGACGGUGUCCCUGGAGUCUCAUUUGUUCCCAGUCCAUCAGGCCGAAUUUAGCAUCGCCACGAGGAGCAGAGCACAUCUCCCCAUCCAUCUAGGGCACCAUUUAUUUCUUCCUCAUAGCAACAAGCCCAGAAGUCGGUCUUAGGUGGGGAGGAAAAGGCAGGAGCUGGCAGCACCCUAAAUGCCCUUCAUUUCAUUUCUGAGCCACUGUAUUGACCAACGAGCACAGACCGAGGAGAAAGCUGCUGCUGCCAUUGCUCAGGCACUGCUGGAGCCUUCUGCCUCCUGCUCUGCCUCAUCGCUGAGGCUGACCUCCUCCUACUCCUGUUUCAGCAUCUUUUACCUCGAGAUAGGCUGCCCCCACCCACCCUGGGCUGUCUGGGUGGCACAGUCGGUGCCUCCUGGGGACAUGCACCUCUGUCAGGUUAUGCCCCUUCCCUUUGGCUCUUUGGUUCACAAAUAGUUUGAACCCUUUGGGGUUUCCGUUGAAGCAAAUUCCUUUUCUCUCCUCUGUUUCUCUUCCUCUCAAGCUGACCCCUCCUGAAAGCCCUUUUAUCCUCCUGUAUCUCCAUUUCCACCUUUUUUUUUUUGUCGGUGGUUGGCUUAACCCUUCCUUUGCUGUUUGCAGUUUGUCAAAGUGAUGCUGGCUCAGGAUGUUUUGUUUUAAAAGCGAGGCCCCGUGUGCUUGUUGACUGCCCCAGUGUAAUGCACAUCAUGAAAUAGUCCCUGCUGCUGUGGGACAUCCCAGCCCAGGGGUUUCCAUCCCUUGUUCAGCCUGGAGGAUUCAACUCAAUUCACAACAGGUCAGAGCUUAGGAAAAGAGCAUGAUACCUGCUGUGCAUCGUGGCCACAUCUUGAAGCAGUGGGAGGCCAGAGGUGCCCUGGCGUCCCUUCAGCAUCACCUCCUGCUGCUGCUCAAGGUGGGUCCUGCUCCCCUGUCCCGGUUUUGGCAGCACGGAGCUGGGCACCCUGUGGAGGCAUCACGGCUCCUGGUGAGAGUGAUGCACAGCCCGGGCGCUCCUGCCUGCAGCUUAUCUCUUCGCUCUCUUUAAUCAUGGCCCCUCUUCUCUCCCCUCCCUGGAGCUGUGAUCCUGGCACUGCACUGUUUCCCAUAUUUAUAGGAGUAAAGCUAUAAUCUCCCUCAAUCCUCGAAAACUUCCCGGCGAGAUUGAUGGAAGCCCAGGUCAGCCAUUAGUGACCGCUGCAUAAAUCACCCUCAUUAGCCGAGCUCCCUUGGCAAGGCGUGCUGAUAUAUGGACCCACAAAGUCUGUGAAGCAUUAAGAAAUCAUGGCUACAUACCUGGGACAGCUGAGGAUCUCUGCUGCUUUGAGAACCUUAUCUGGACAAGGAUGGGCUGCUUCUGGCCCCUCUUUUUGUUGUCUGCAAGUUUUUAGCCCUGCCCUGAAUCACUUAGUAUUUUUCAAUCAAACCCAGCCUGGGCUGCCUACUGAACAGAAGUGAAGGGGAACCCACCCAGGGUGGUGACUCUCAAAGAGAGAAAGCGCUUGAGCCGGAGCAGACAUCCCUCUGAAGAGCCCAAGGUGUUGGAGUAACCCAUCGAGAGAGCACUUCCCAGUGCCGGAGCUGAGUUAUCUCUGAUGUUCAGUCCUGUCUGCUCAUCUGGAAGCCAGGAACAGCAAAUGCCACCAAACCCUGAUGUACCCGGUCACGUGCACAGACUGCUCCCAUCCCACCGUUUGAUUUGAGGCUGAGAUGGAAGAAAAUCCAGGUCUUGUUUUGCGACAGAGGUUGAGAUAGAGGCGCAACAUGGUGUGUGGCUGAAGCUGGAGGAGAGCUUGAUGCUGCAGUGGUCCUGGUUGGCAGCCUGCGAGAUGUGUGGGCACUGCUGGCUUUGGCUACCAUGACAUUUUGCCAGUGGAACCCUGGAAACCCCCCCAUAUCCAUGAUGCUCACCUGGGAACCUUCAUCCUGCUUCCCAGCGUGUGUAACGGCUUGAACGUAGCAGGCAGGGCUCAGCUGUGGAUUAAAGCAGCAUCUCUGUGGGCAUGGCAUGUGGAUGAGGAUGCUUUGUGGUCAACAGAGAGAGAAAGGCCCAUGGGGACACUAAUUAAGUGCUGUCUGUAGACACUUGCCCUAAUAGAAGUUUAUCAGUCAAUGCUGAUUUAUAAUAAGGAACGUGAAUGCUGCUCUCCUGAAUGCUUACUUAGGAUGGGAAUGCUGGAGUGCUUGUCUGGAGAGUGCCGAUGGAUUUGUGAAUCAUCUAGUCCAGGACCGUCAGGCUCGCAUGACUGUUCGGGUGGCAUUCGGUGUGAUAACUGUGGAAAGAGCCACCGUGGCCCUGUAUCCUCCAUGGAUUUCCCUUGUUUGCAGCCACUGACUCACUCUGAAUAAUGGGCAAUGGCAUAAAAUCAAGCAGUUUGCAGAUAAUUUAGGCACAGCCGAGAGCACUAUAUUCACAGGAUGAACUGUCUGCUGCGUUAAACAUAUAUAUUUGGGAGAGUACGCGGAGCACUCUGAGUUGUGAUGCCUUUCUAAUUACAGCCUUGAGGAUUUGCUCAGGCAAAGCUCCCACGGAGCUGGUGGGGAGCUGCGGGUGCUGCCCGUGCUGCCAGGCUCGGGGGGAGCAGGGGUGGCUCCUGCACACACCACAGGCGCACCAUGGGCACGAGAAACAGCAGCCGCCUUCGCCUUCUGCUCAUUUGCAUGGAGACGAUGGAUGCUGCUGCGUUUGCGUUCCGAGCACUGCGGGGAAAGCUGAAAUCUUUCAGAACACAAAAGACAAACGGAACCAGACCAGGGAAUGUUUUUAUUGAUGACAACUCUCAUAAAGCUCCUCUCUCCUCUGGUUCCUCGGCUCGCCCAGGCCCCAGCACGCGUCCCUCAGGGUGAGAAUUGUCUGUAGGCAGAUGCUGUGCGCACGGGGCGUAUCUGCUUACAGCACAGGGCUUAUUAGAGCAGCCUGCAGCUGAGGAGUGAAUCUUUCUUUCCUCUCUUCGGCUGCAGCACGAGGUCCCCUGUGCCAGCGUUGGGUUAAAUGUCCAAUUAGUCUCUCGCACUCCGGAGUUAAUCGCUGUUGUUUGUUGCUGAGUGAGAGCCGGUGGGAUCCAUUAGGUCCUCUUCCUCCUCCGGCUGCCCAGCUGGCUUGGGCUGGCUCCAGGUAUGCUUUUUGGGGUCUGCCACCGGGGAGAAAUCUGGCCUUUUUUUUGCUUGGGAAGCAGCGUGCUGCAUUCGCUGCCUCUGGGCUGAGCCAGAACUCGGCUUUGGGCUGGAGGGAGAGGCACAAAGGGAGCUGCUGGGACAGAAUCACAAAAGCCUAAUCAUGUUUCACAACACGGCACCUCGCAGGCGGAGAUGUAAAGCUUUAUAUAGAAAUAUAAUUAAUAAUCUCGUAAAAAGCUGCCUCCUAGCUAGUGCUGUAACACAGAACAAGGCUCAAGGGGCGAGCAGCUUUACUGGUGCAGGGUCUGAGUUGACGGCUUGUCCUGCACAUUAAAGAGCUGCCUGGGUGAUGACUGUUUCCUAUUAACUGUGGCAGCUCUUCUGGGGGCUGCCUUGUCCUGAUGGGUGCUCAGAGACCACUGGAUGGGUGCAGGGGAGCUCUCCUAAUGCCUUGUCAGCUGUGGGUAUGGAGAAGGGCUCAUCUCCCUACCACCAUCACGGAGAGAGAGGAAGAGAUCCCUGCCCAGCAGGUGAAAUAACCCACUAAAAUCCAACAAGCAGGGCUGGCAUAGCUCGAUUCAGUGCAAAGGAAGGAGUCACGGUAUGGAACGUGUGCUGGGCGUGCUGCUGGCCACGCCAGGGUGGCAAGGCCCCAGUCGGCAUCGUACCUCCCAGGCAGCUUGCUGAGCCAGAGCACACCUGCCCAGCAGGGAUUGCACAUUGCAUGGUAGAAAAAUCCCUCGAGCAAGGCAGCUGUGGCUGGAAACACCGCAGCGUGGCACACACUCCCUUGCUGUGGGGUGCAGCUCCUGCAGGGGUGGCACCAGGUCGGGGCUGGACCGUGGCUCCCGCUGCCUGCCCAGCCUGCUCCCGCAGGGCUGGAACGAGGAGCAGAGCGCGGGGGGCGGGCAGGCUCCCUUGGGGAGCAGAAAGGCCAUGGCGAGAGGGGUGCUGUGGGACCAGUGGAUGAGGGAGGAGGAUCUGGGCCAGAUUAGCUGUGGGGUAGCAAGCAGGAAGGACUGGUGGAGCCUGCGGUGCUGAGGCGUGAGCCGGGAGAGAAGCUGCUGUGCUGGCUAGGACAAGCUGUGCUUCCAGGGGAGUGAGUCCGGCAGCAGACCCGAGGCGUGCAGCUAGAGGCAAAGGAAAGCCUCAGAUGCCCACAACUGCUGGCUGAGGUGUGUGUCCGGCUGCGGCAUGGAGCGGGAGAGGGGUCACGGCACUGGCACUGCCCUCGCUGCCCUGACCCUGCAUGUGGCCCAGCCCCAUGAGGAAGGGCACAGAGCAUCCCUCUUGCUCCAACCCAGCAUGGUUCCUGGGUUUACUGGGAGGUGGGAAAGAGCUGAACCCAGCUUUUCACACCUCUUAGUCACUGAGUAUGAAAAAGCAGCAUCUCUGGCCCAUUGGAACUUUCUUUGAAGGGAAAAGAGCAAAUGCCAGGGCGUUUUGUCAGCUCCUUGUCCUCCCUGGCAUGGGAGCAGUGCAGUGACUCACGCAGCCCCAAAAGGAGCUGACGUGUAAAUUGAGGUUGGGCUGAAUUUAGCCAAAUGCCUGAGACCCUGAAAGUGGAGAAGCCUCCCUUCUGCCUUCGGCUUCACAGUUGGUGUCUGGAUCAUGCACUAGAGGUGGCCCAGAGGCACAGGAGUGUUGUCUGCCCCAGAUGUGUGCAUAAUAUGAGCGUUUAUAACUCACCUCUCCCCUGACCGCUACACUUUCGCAGUACCACCUGGUUAAAAAGAGCUUUUUGUCUAAGAAAACUGCCCCCUCUCAUUCCCCCAGCAGCCAGGUGAAUGCUAUCGUGAAUGUUACAGGCAGAGAAGGGGCACUGGGCUCACAGUGAGUCAAUGUCAAAGCCAGGGUUACAGCCUCGAGAAGCAGCCUGUCCCCUCCUCCCCGCAGCAUCUAUUUCUCUCCAAGCAACAUCCACCCUGUGUGCGGCCGGUGCUAUAAAGAACAAAUAAAAUGCUGUGCAAGCCAAAGGAAAUAGCAUCAUUUAAAAAUAUGCACAAGGUUAACAGGCACGGGGAGGACACGGCUGGUGUGGAUGGAUGGUAGGAGAGCAAACGAAUGAGACCCGAAGGGCUGCAGAGUGUACAGCAGUACCAGCAAAACCAUCCAAGCGCAUAAGUUGCAAGCGAAUCUGGCUUCUCACCCUGCUCAAGGGCUGUCCCAGGACCUCAAAGCCCAUCAG